rnacentral:lncRNA from 1 species
UUAAGAGCAUUAUCACAAAGCAACAAUGCGACCAUUACAGGAAAGAAAUCUGAAGUUAUGGGUUUAAUCAGAGAGACAUCACCGUCAGCUGUGAGGGAUUGUUGAGAGAAAAUAGUUGCGCCAGAGAAGAAAUUUUGGAGAGGAAAAACAGUUCGUGAAGGGAAAUAUUUUAAAGUCGUUUUUUUCAUGAACAGGCGAUUGUACAAUGAAUUCUGCUGCCUGUACAGGCCCUAUAUUGGCCACACACAUUAUAGGAGGGGUGGGGUAAUUUUUUUUUUAAAUAAUCUCCCCGCCACCCCCCCCCCCCCAACCCCCCCCCCGAGGGGGGACCCAGCACGUGAGGGUGUCUGUACAGCAUCAGGCAUUUUCCCUUGUACAAUUAUGUCCAAUCUGCCCUUAACUCAUUUAUCCUGGGAAUGUACAAGUUGUUUAUUACACUAUUUUUUCUCUAGAUAUAUAUACAUGUGAAGGUUGGAUGGAUCGGGUAGGUAGAUCCCUGUCUGUACUGUCUCAAUAGAUAACAAUUCAUAAAAAAUAAAAAUAAGAAAAUUGGAUAAUGAAAUUGCCACAAAUGGAAGCAUGAAAUGUGCCAACAAUGAAGCAUGACUCUGGAGCAGAAACCUGCCUUUGGGAUCGAGCUAGAUACACGACAUACAGAGCUAAAUUUUGUUUUUAUUUAAUAAAAUUAAUCAAGAAAAAAAUAGUGGCUAGUGGUCUACCUAGCCUGUCAAAAAAUGUGGGUCAUGCUAAGUCUCUAUCUUAACUGAGUCGACUAGCUUUUUAUCUGCAAUACGAACAUAUAAAUGCAUAUCUAAGAAGCUAAAAUGACCACUGUUUGUUCUAGAUGAAAUAUCAAUUAAUAGGUAUGUAACAAUCCAAAAUUUUCUAUGAGUUCGCUGAAUUUAUUUUUUAUUUGGUCAAUUUUAUAAAUUUCUCAAAAAUUUUAGUGAUUGUAAUAGAGUUAUUAGGUUUAAGAGCUGAUCAAUGAAACUUUUAUGAAACAAGUAAAAAAUUAGAAGAAUUACCUUAAAAGUUUAAAUAUUAAAAUAAGCUAUAAUUUUGGAGCUAGAACCUGCCUCCAUAAAUGUGCCAACAACUUGUAGCAUGGAAUUAGCAACAAUUUGGAUGGAGGAUCUGUCUAUAAUUCGAUGCAAGUGACCAGGCAAGGGUCAACCCCCCAUUCUAACCUUGACUUUAAAUCAAGAAAAUAAAAAAAAAAUGAAAAAAUAAAAAUUGUGACUAGUAGUCUAAUUUAGGAAUGACAAUCGGGCUCGUCAGCUCUGGCUACCCGUCGCUCGGCUCAAAAAAAGUUCGAGCCUGCCCAGCUCAAGACUAGGGAGAACCGCGCCAAGGUUGGAGCCGAGCCCCAUUUUGGGGUGCUGGGCAAAGCCCGAGCUGGCCCGUGUGGCUCGUCGGCUCGGGUUCACGAUCCCAUAUUUAAAAAAUAUAUAUUUUAAAGGCAGAAAGCAAAGGCUGGCUUCUUUUGAAAAAAAUAAUAAUAAUAAAUAAUAAUAAUAAUAAUCGAGCCUGCUCGGCUCGGAAAGGCCCGAGCCGAAAAGCUCGGGUCGAGCCUAAUUUUUUUGGCUCGCACCUUGAAUUUCAGCUUGCGAACCGACUUGAUUCGACUUGUUGACAUCCAUAGUCUAACCUAUCAAAAAAUGUGAAUAAUGGCGAGUCUCUAUCUUUAAGCCUCCAUUUGUCACCCAUUAUUUGACAAAAUAAAGAGUUUUGAAUAGGAUAUGUUGAAGAAUAUGUGGUUAAAAUGUAAAGAAAUUUUAUUGGUUUGUGUAUAAAAUAUUUUAUUGUGUGAAUAUAUGGUGAAAAAUAAUACCGUAGCAAAUAGUUUAAAAUUUUAAAGCCAUCAAACAUGUCCUAAAUCUCUCAUACAAAUAUGAAAAUGUAUGCGAUAUGCAAAUGUUUCCCAACAUGUUUUUAUCACGGAUGUCCUUAACCUAUGUGUGUGGUGCGCACUUGGUCUUUUCUAUUGAAAAAAAAAAAAAACCCUUAAUUUUAAUUACUAAAUUGUAUUUAGGUCCCUAACCUAGAGAUGACAUAAAAACCCAUUAAAAUCGAUUUUCGUGGAGCUUUGCCACAAAAGAGGCGUGGUAAAUUGGAGAGAACAGGUACAGAAAACAUGGUUCCCACCUCUUUAUAGUCCAUUUCAAAUUUGAGUUUUUUAUCAAACAAUAAAAAAAGAAUCACCUUCGUUUCCCAAAAAAAGGAAAAAAAAAAGUAAUAAUUUUUACAAACUAAAAAAAAUUGUGGGGCCCAAGAAUAAACCCACCCCACUCCACACCCUUCUUAGCCAAAUAUGGGGAUGGGACUAGGGUUGGGCGUGGGUUGGAUUGGGUCAGUUUUUGCCCCAACCCUAACCCAACCCAACAUAGUCGGUUUGGGCAAAAAUCAACCCAACCCAACCCGCAUAAACGUUGAAACCCAACCCAAUCAAGUGUCGGUCGGGUUGGGUUGGGUUGGUCGGUUUGAGCAAAUUGUAAUUUAUUACCAUAAGACGUUAAAACAUAACCGAUUCACGUUGUUUUACAUGACAUAUAGGUGAAAAAUCAACACAUAAUAUAGACACAGAAAACCAAGGCUUAUUGUGCCGAUUUGCUAGUGAAAAACUAACACAUUUUCUCGUACUACUAAUUUUAUGUGCAAUUGUUUUCUAGUCGAAGAGGUGAUCUUGCAGAAAUACUGAAUAUAGGUCAUUUGGGUAUCUUCUGCCACUCUAUACUUCUUAUACCUACAUGUGUUUUAAAAUACAUACUAGAUGCAACCAAUGUAGGUAUUUCCUGAGAUAUAUAACUAAGUAAAAUUAGUGAGAUAUACUUCUGCCACUCAUCUUGCAGAAACACUCUAGAAUGACAGUAACAAAGUAAAAUGCAUACAAGGACCUUACCUCCAAUAUUGCACCAGCACGAAAUGCAGCCCAUGUAGGUAUUUCCUGAGAUAUUUGUCGUAACAGCAGCAUGUCUUCAACAACAUUAGUACCAAAAAAAAAAAAAAUUAAAUACAAAUUAGUGAGACAAGCCUAAAGUUAAUAUGCAGUGAAUAAUGGCUAAAGUAUUGUGAAUUCAUCACAGGCCACAACAGAUUUUGAAUCUAUUAAUAAACCCAAAAAAUUAAAAAAACACAACGAUUAAUUAAUUGAUAAACUUUAAGAAAAAUAAUAAGACUAGACGAGCUCUCAAAUCUAACUAUUACAGGACCUGAAGGGUGAAGGCUAAGGCAGUUUAAGUUUCAAAUAUUGCAGCAGGCAGCAAUUUCGUGGACAAGGCAAUGGCUCAAGAGUCGAGCAAAAUAUGAGAAGUAGAGAUAAAAAUUACAGGAGAAGAUGUGUAGCACUGGAGUGUGAAGACAGGCAACUGGAAAACCAAAAUCUGCCAUUGAUGAUUUGAGAGAACAUGAAGUACGACGGCAGGAUGAGGAAGACGAGAGUGAGAAGUGAGAACUUUUAGGGCUUCUUUUCCCAUUUUAGGCGUUUUUC